UUAUCUAAACAAAGAAAUCAUGGCGGAGUGUUUACAUUUGGCAGCCCAAAGACUGUUGGAUUACGGAACCCCCCCUAAACCCAACCGGCUCCCCCCGGCCCCCCGCAGUAGCUGCUUGCCGGAGCCCGCCCGCCAACACCUCGUCGCGGCCCGGAGUCUGAACCAGCUGCUUUGAAGAGAUCUUUCGAACAGAUGACUAGGCUGUGAAUUUCAAAGACUGUUGAUGAGAACAGAAGAAGGAACAGAUGGUGGCACCAUCCUGUCUCGGCACCAGAUACUGCCCUGGAGUUGUACAUGGUGCAAAAAGCAUCCUCGUGGAGAAGCAGAUAGUGCUCCUGCAAAGUAUCAGCAUGGUGGAUUUUAUGGUGUAUUUCUACAGCUGAGGGACAACUGUCUAUGAAUUUCCAGUGAAGGGAUCUCCCUCUCCCACAAAGGCACCACUGUCUCUGCAAAGCACUCUGCUAGAACUUUCAUUGUAAACAGCUGAACAAGAAACACAGCUACAGCCAGAGUACCAGAUCCCCUCUUCUCCAAAGCCCUGGAGUUAUGCUGAUUGAGCAAGGCACUAACAUGCAGGUGGUAAAACACUGGCUGCCGUGAACUUCAUGUUGGAAAAAAAAAAAAGAACGAAGAAAAAGAUGUGGUUUGGAGGCUGCUAGAGCUGCUGGAUAGCAAACUGCAGGCUUGUAACGUUGUGGCUGCUGAAAUCGCUGCAAGGAUAAUAGGGCAUACAUGCAUUUGUGGAUAAUUCUGUUUGCUAAUUGCUCAUGAAAUUUCAGGAUGAAAGUGAAGAAGGGAAUCUUCCAGGUGGCUGCGUCUUGAAAACCAGGUGCGGCAGUGAUGGCUUCCUAUCCGCACUACUCGGAGGGACUUGGCCAGCUGGCUCUGCUCAAACUCCUCCUCUGCGGUCUCUCAGGAGAAAAGGAGAACACUGAUGUGGGCACAGAGGAGAAAGCAGUUUCCAGAUGGAUUUUCCCCAAGAUGUUAAUAUUGCACUGGUUUUAACGCUGAUUGAAGCAAGGUAGCAAGUGGUUAUUACAGGCCUGACAUGCCUGUUCUGCCAAGAAACAGCAUGAGCUUUCAACUCAAAAAACAAGACCUUAACUCCAGUUUUCCUGGCCCAUUAUGAAGCAGUCCUCUGUGUAUGAGAAGUACAACUAUCAAACAAGCAAACAAACAAACAAACAAAACCACCAAAACCAAAUGAGGAUGGCCUGAUCUACCCCAGAACAAUGAAUGGACAUUAAACCCAAGCUCAGGAUAUCUCAACCUUGUAAAAAUUCUUUCUCAGGUCUUCUGAAGAAGAAAUUCCUCUACAGUCUUCCUCAGGUAGUGUGGGUCAGGUUGUGAAUAGUGUUCUUAUGAGACUGUCUAGUAAAGACAGGCUGUGCAGCUGGGCCUGCUGUGGAUUAAAAUAGUAUUUGUCCCAAAUCUUUUCACAAGCUUUUACGAGACCUCUUCAGUGUCUCAUUUUGGUAUGAUGCUGGAUGUUCAGGAAGUGGCUGCUGACAACAAUAAAACUUGAUA